GCACAGGUGCUGCAUGGCUGUCGUCAGCUCGUGUCGUGAGAUGUUCGGUUAAGUCCGCUAACGAGCGCAACCCUUGCCAUUAGUUGCUACGAAAGGGCACUCUAAUGGGACUGCCGGUGACAAACCGGAGGAAGGUGGGGAGUGACGUCAAGUCCUCAUGGCCCUUAUAGGUGGGGCUACACACGUCAUACAAUGGCCGGUACAGAGGGUAGCCAACCCGCGAGGGGGAGCCAAUCCCACAAAGCCGGUCGUAGUCCGGAUCGCAGUCUGCAACUCGACUGCGUGAAGUCGGAAUCGCUAGUAAUCGCGGAUCAGCAUGUCGCGGUGAAUACGUUCCCGGGUCUU
rnacentral:rRNA from 1 species